GAUGAACGCUGGCGGCGUGCCUAAUACAUGCAAGUCGAGCGAACAGACGAGGAGCUUGCUCCUCUGACGUUAGCGGCGGACGGGUGAGUAACACGUGGAUAACCUACCUAUAAGACUGGGAUAACUUCGGGAAACCGGAGCUAAUACCGGAUAAUAUAUUGAACCGCAUGGUUCAAUAGUGAAAGACGGUUUUGCUGGCACUUAUAGAUGGAUCCGAGCCGCAUUAGCUAGUUGGUAAGGUAACGGCUUACCAAGGCAACGAUGCGUAGCCGACCUGAGAGGGGGAUCGGCCGCACUAGAACUGAGACACGGUCCAGACUCCUACGGGAGGCAGCAGUAGGGAAUCUUCCGCAAAGGGCGAGAGCCUGACGGAGCAGCGCGGCGUGAGUGAUGAAGGUCUUCGGAUCGUAAAACUCUGUUAUUAGGGAAGAACAAAUGUGUAAGUAACUAUGCACGUCUUGACGGUACCUAAUCAGAAAGCCACGGCUAACUACGUG
rnacentral:rRNA from 1 species